GAUGAACGCUGGCGGCGUGCCUAAUACAUGCAAGUCGAACGAAACUUCUUUAUCACCGAGUGCUUGCACUCACCGAUAAAGAGUUGAGUGGCGAACGGGUGAGUAACACGUGGGCAACCUGCCCAAAAGAGGGGGAUAACACUUGGAAACAGGUGCUAAUACCGCAUAACCAUAGUUACCGCAUGGUAACUAUGUAAAAGGUGGCUAUACUACCGCUUUUGGAUGGGCCCGCGGCGCAUUAGCUAGUUGGUAGGGUAAAGGCUUACCAAGGCAAUGAUGCGUAGCCGAAUUGAGAGGUUGAUCGGCCACAUUGGGACUGAGACACGGCCCAAACUCCUACGGGAGGCAGCAGUAGGGAAUCUUCCACAAUGGGCGAAAGCCUGAUGGAGCAACGCCGCGUGGGUGAAGAAGGUCUUCGGAUCGUAAAACCCUGUUGUUAGAGAAGAAAGUGCGUGAGAGUAACUGUUCACGUUUCGACGGUAUCUAACCAGAAAGCCACGGCUAACUACGCG
rnacentral:rRNA from 1 species